rnacentral:rRNA from 1 species
AUUGAACGCUGGCGGCAGGCCUAACACAUGCAAGUCGAACGGUAACAGGAAGCAGCUUGCUGCUUCGCUGACGAGUGGCGGACGGGUGAGUAAUGUCUGGGAAACUGCCUGAUGGAGGGGGAUAACUACUGGAAACGGUAGCUAAUACCGCAUAACGUCGCAAGACCAAAGAGGGGGACCUUAGGGCCUCUUGCCAUCGGAUGUGCCCAGAUGGGAUUAGCUAGUAGGUGGGGUAACGGCUAACCUAGGCGACGAUCCCUAGCUGGUCUGAGAGGAUGACCAGCCACACUGGAACUGAGACACGGUCCAGACUCCUACGGGAGGCAGCAGUGGGGAAUAUUGCACAAUGGGCGCAAGCCUGAUGCAGCCAUGCCGCGUGUAUGAAGAAGGCCUUCGGGUUGUAAAGUACUUUCAGCGGGGAGGAAGGGAGUAAAGUUAAUACCUUUGCUCAUUGACGUUACCCGCAGAAGAAGCACCGGCUAACUCCGUG